GACCCUGUAGCUUAGCCUGGUAGAGCGCUGCUCUUAUAAAGCAGAGGUCCCGCGUUCAAAUCGCGGCAGGGUCA
rnacentral:tRNA from 1 species